UACAGAGGGUGCGAGCGUUAAUCGGAAUUAUUGGGCGUAAAGGGCGCGUAGGCGGAUGUGCAAGUGGUAGGUGAAAUACCCGGGCUUAACCUGGGGAGGUCCUAUCAGACUGCACGUCUAGAAUGUGGCAGAGGAAGGUGGAAUUCUCGGUGUAGCGGUGAAAUGCGUAGAUAUCGAGAGGAACACCUGCGGCGAAGGCGGGUUGCUGGGCCGACACUGACGCUGACAGCGCGAAAGCUAGGGGAGCGAACGGG
rnacentral:rRNA from 1 species